UGACGAAGGCCACUCCCGCGCAGGAAAG
rnacentral:sRNA from 1 species